rnacentral:lncRNA from 1 species
AGAGAGUGGGCGCGUCCAUCAGCUGCUGCUGGACAGGCUGCCCUCACAAAUACCACUACAUCUGCGCGAAGGAGAUAGGCUGUAUGUUCCAAGACGACAACUUUUCACUGAAAUGUCCGAAACACGAGGCUUUGUAAAAUAGAGCAGCACCAGUGAGCAUCACCUAUGCAGUACGACAGACAGACAGAUAGGACAUCCCCCCCCCCACCCAAACCUGAUGAUGAGUCAUGAUGAGACGUCAUGACGGACAGACGCAUCGGCCAAUGGGGACAGCUGGGGAUCCUCUGAGGCUCCACCGAUAGCAGCAAUACAGACACUAGACAGCAGGUCCCUCAGAGCAACCCCCGUAACCCCUGGCAACGGCACUGCUUUAUCUCAGCCACCCCUGAUAACCAGACAGAGAGACAGAGAGAAAGAGAGAGAGACUGCAUUGUCUGUCUGACAGACAGUCUCCUUCACGGACAGACGGACUGCGGUGUUUUGAGAGAGUCUUUCACAGCCCUGUCUGUCUGUGUCUAGAGUCUAGACACCUGGCAGCCAUGGUUACUUAGAGACCCCCCCUCCAGAGAGAGUGGGGGAGAGAGAGGGGGAGAGACAUGGGGAGAGACAGGGGGAGAGACAGGGAGCUGUUUUAAAUUCACGCUGCACUGUUCUGCCUCUGGAACGGUCGCUAUCAUUUUUGGACACCUGGUGGAUUGCGAUUGGCCAGAAUAGGCCCCCUCCGGCUAUGCUGUCCGAGUUCCAGGUCGCGGUGUGUGUGUGACAUCGACUGUGUGUGCGUGUGCUUGUACAAGGAAGGGAAUGAGCGUGUUCCAAUUCAAGAUGUCAUGCGUCAGAAGAAGCUGCCCUCCCCUGGAUGUAUCUCAAUGUGAGCUUAAG